CGUGAGGACCAGAAGACAGCAUCAGACUCCCUGGAACUGGAACAACAAACGCUUGUGAACUACCAUGGAACUCAGGCUGGUACAGCAGAAGCUGUGCCUGGUGCCGUGAGCAUCCUCUAGUCCAUUUCCUGAUGGAGUCCGAUGGAGUCCCUGUUCCUGUCUGACAUUUGUGAGCCUGGCUUUCAUUGUACCCCACUGGCAUUCGGGCACCCCUGGAAUCACUCAACAAGAGCAACGUAACCACUGCAUCAGAAACAUCAAUGACCCAAGAGACCAACGACCUCCUCAUGUGUGUCUCGAGCCUCUAGCACAGGAUAAGUGCGUGCGGGCCUCCCAGAUGCCGUCACUAAAAGUGUGGAGUUGGCGCCCAAGUUCACAUUCCAUCCACGCAGCAGCUGGAAGAGACAGAAGCCCUCCUUCCUAUUUGCCUUUCAACUACACUUUGAAAAGCUUUUCAACAUUGCUCUCAUCAUGACAUUCCUGUUAUCUUCAAAUCCCUGAUGGGAGAGCAUCUUG